UCCGUUCACCUCCAUAGGACUUUCAGUUGAAGGACACUGAAGUAGCUCCAAUCCUUACUGUACGUUGGGGCAGUUUACCUUAAGAGGAAGGCUCCUCUCCUCUCCAUCGCUCCAAGGAAGCCCCGCAGUUAGCCUGGCCACGCAGUGCUCCGACUGCCCUGAGAUUUGCAUUCCAGUGAUUUAGGGACAUCAGAAGUGCCAUGUAUUAUCAGAGACCCAAGAGAGUUCGAGAGCAAAAACCUCUUCACAGCGCUCUGCACUCACUAUCAAAGCAGCAGCUAAAGGCUAUGGCUAACAAACCUGCCAGGGCACAGCGGAGCAGAGAUCAAGCAGAGCACGUUCACAGCAGCAGCCCUGCAACUCAGCCUGCCCACAACAUCCCAGCCCACCCACACCCUUCGCUCCCCCUCUGUGUCCCCAGAAAGGUGCCUGCUAUCAGUUUCACCACUAUUUUGAGAAGUGAGAAAGUAAAGUGCCCUCUACCAAUACAUUCAAACACCUUGCAGGGAGCGUGUCGAUGAAUCAACUGGAGGAGCAGAUCUCGAAAUUCUCUCUGCUGCUUAUAGGGAGCAGGUCCAGGCCAGGCCACUUCCAGAAACAGAAACAUCGCCGCUUUCUUUGGUCUACGGACAGUAUUUCCAGGACAAAAAAUCCCCUGCUUUUGGAAAUUUAAGCUUUACAGUUCACUUGUGCCUAACCAGCUCCUCAAAAACCAUGAGACAGACUUAGCAUUAUUACGGUUACCAACUCUUCCCCACUACAGCAGAAGGGAAGGCUAAAUCCAUUAAGAAAAGAGGCAGAUGUCUCGCAGGAAGGGCUGCUCCAUUAGAAUAGGAACCCUACUUUCAUUAAUUAGGUUGGAUUAGGACAAUAAAGUGAUUUAUGCGAACACUUUGGUUUUCUUUGUCGGUAGUCAAGCUGACGGACACCACACUGACGCGUGCAAAAUUAAUGACAGCAGCAGUGCCUUCAUGAGUUAAAUACUUGCUUUCUUGGCUGCUGGCCUUCAGUUUCUUUUCUAAAAAAGAACACCACUCAGGGACAUCAGACAAAAGUUCUUGCAACUUGAAAGCAAAAGGAAGCUUUAGCUAGUGAGGAAGGAGUCCUUCUAAAGUGAAGAACGCAUUUCCACUGGA